rnacentral:rRNA from 1 species
AGAAUCAACGCUGGCGGCGUGCCUAACACAUGCAAGUCGAACGAGAAAGUGGAGCAAUCCAUGAGUAAAGUGGCGCACGGGUGAGUAACACGUGACUAACCUACCCUUGAGUGGGGGAUAACCUAGAGAAAUCUGGGCUAAUACCGCAUAAUACCUUCGGGUCAAAGGAGCAAUUCGCUUAAGGAGGGGGUCGCGGCCGAUUAGUUAGUUGGCGGGGUAAUGGCCCACCAAGACUGUGAUCGGUAUCCGGCCUGAGAGGGCGCACGGACACACUGGAACUGAAACACGGUCCAGACUCCUACGGGAGGCAGCAGUGGGGAAUUUUGCGCAAUGGGGGAAACCCUGACGCAGCAACGCCGCGUGGAGGAUGAAGCCCCUUGGGGCGUAAACUCCUUUCGAUCGGGAAGAUAAUGACGGUACCGAGAGAAGAGCCCCGGCUAACUCGUGCCAGCAGCCGC